rnacentral:tRNA from 1 species
GGUGCUGUACCUCAGUGGUAGAGCGCUUGCCUAGUGAGUAUGAGGCAUUGGGUUCGAUUUUUAGCACCA